rnacentral:lncRNA from 1 species
AGACAUGGCUUUGCAUCUUCAGAUGGCCACAUGGGGGCUGCCAUGUGGAAAACCUAAAGUCCUCAUCGCCAGCACCCACUUGCUCACUGGAGAUGAUGUGGAUAGUACCACCGGUCUCGCUGUCGAAAGACGACUCUGCUAACAUGUCUUGGAGUGUUUUCUAGUCAGGAGCUCACUUAAAAAUUUUGAAAUGCGACCACGAACAAUGGUAAUAUGAUGUAUAUGAAAUUUAAUUUGUACGACAGUUUCACAGUAUUCAUGUCUUAACCUUAAUUUUUUCAGAAGAAGGUAAACCAUGAACGCCUUGGUGUGAGGGGAGGUGCCUGGUUCCUGCUGGUGAGGCGCCCUGGGGGAUGGUGCCCACACUGGUCCCUGCCUGGAUGGCAUCCUGGGGGAUGGUGCCCACGCCUGGUUCCUGCUGGUGAGGUGCCCUGGGGGAGCCGGGUUGGUGGGUUUCUUCGCAAGAGUGGGCAGAGCUGCCCAGAAACGUGUUUCCUCCUGUUGGCGUCUGUGGCAUCGCGCUCUUUGGUGGUAGAAACGGGGCGUCAGUGACCUGGGGCUGCCAUGUCAAAGGGCCACAAAGGGAACGUCGUAAACAACAGACAUCUGUUCCCUCCAGUCCUGGAGGCCGGAGGUCUGAGGUUUGGGCAUCAGCCCGCCGCGGUUCCUGGGAGGGUGCUGGGGGCCUGAGGUUCGGUUGUCGGCCCACCGCGGUUCCUGGGAGGGUGCUGGGGGCCUGAGGUUCGGUCGUCGGCCGCGGCGGUUCCUGGGAGGGUGCUGGGGGUCUGAGGUUCGGUUGUCGGCCCACCGCGGUUCCUGGGAGGGUGCUGGGGGUCUGAGGUUCGGUUGUCGGCCCGCCGCGGUUUCUGGGAGGGUGCUGGGGGUCUGCUCCAGGCCUCUCUCCAGCCUCUUGCCGGGG